AGAUUGUGAAGUUCACCACUUGACAAAAGAAAAAGAGUGUGUUUUUUUUCCUUCUGAAUUUCCUCCUCCUUUCUGCAGCAUAGGCUCCAUAUUUGAGGCUGCCUCUUGAUAUCCUGAAUUUUCAAAAGUUUUAACUCAAGGAGAGCCACCGUUCACUACACUGAAACCUGCCAGGCUGGUCUGACUGCUGCAUUGCUUUCCCAGAAGACUGUGAACUAUGUUCCCUUGCUGGUGACCUUGCUGGUAACUGUGCUUCACUAUGUCUUUAAAAUGUUUAUUUGGCGCUUGGUUGGUAAGUGCCCUCUUUCAGUUCACUGUACAUCAGUUGCUCAGACUUCCUGUUGUCAAUGCAUGAGAACACUGCCCCCACCCUUAUAGAAUGUACAGUCUGAUAGGGGGUGCAUAGAGGAGAAACAUAUAACCACCUUAAAAACUUGCACUGGAUCCUACAAUUGUAUGAGGAUAUAAAAAAGGAAGAAUAAGUACUGAAUUGUUUUGGGGUUAAUCAAGGAAAACUCCCUGGUGGAGAUGGGUCUUUAACUGAGAUUUAAGAGAGUAGAGGGGUGUGUGUUCAUGAAUUGCCAGGUUAGGUUGUCAGUACUUCCCAGAGUGAUAACUUUCUGCUUCAUUUUUGUUUUAUGCGGAUCCACAGAUAGCUAACACAGGAGCAACUGAUGAGUGUUUCAAGUAACUGGGAAAAAUAAUUCUGGAAUAUUAAACCUAGAACAAUUCAGA